rnacentral:rRNA from 1 species
GAUGAACGCUGGCGGCGUGCCUAAUACAUGCAAGUCGAGCGAACGGACGGGAAGCUUGCUUCUCUGAUGUUAGCGGCGGACGGGUGAGUAACACGUGGAUAACCUACCUAUAAGACUGGGAUAACUUCGGGAAACCGGAGCUAAUACCGGAUAAUAUUUUGAACCGCAUGGUUCAAAAGUGAAAGACGGUCUUGCUGUCACUUAUAGAUGGAUCCGCGCUGCAUUAGCUAGUUGGUAAGGUAACGGCUUACCAAGGCAACGAUGCAUAGCCGACCUGAGGGGGUGAUCGGCCACACUGGAACUGAGACACGGUCCAGACUCCUACGGGAGGCAGCAGUAGGGAAUCUUCCGCAAUGGGCGAAAGCCUGACGGAGCAACGCCGCGUGAGUGAUGAAGGUCUUCGGAUCGUAAAACUCUGUUAUUAGGGAAGAACAUAUGUGUAAGUAACUGUGCACAUCUUGACGGUACCUAAUCAGAAAGCCACGGCUAACUACGUG